rnacentral:tRNA from 1 species
CAGGUUUAUUAUUAGUUAAGUAUCUCUUUUACAUUGAGAUUUAUUAUUGUGCAAUUCAAUAUAACUUGA